UACGGGAGGCAGCAAUGGGGAAUAUUGCACAAUGGGCGAAAGCCUGAUGCAGCUAUGCCGCGUGUAUGAAGAAGGCCUUAGGGUUGUAAAGUACUUUCAUCGGGGAGGAAAAAACAAAACUAAUAAUUUUAUUUCUUGACGUUACCCGAAAAAGAAGCACCGGCUAACUCCGUGCCAGCAGCCGCGGUAAUACGGAGGGUGCUAGCGUUAAUCAGAAUUACUGGGCGUAAAGAGCACGUAGGUGGUUUUUUUAAGUCAGAUGUGAAAUCCCUGGGCUUUAACCUAGGAACUGCAUUUUGAAACUGAAAUACUAGAGUAUCGUAGAGGGAGGUAGAAUUCUAGGUGUAGCGGUGAAAUGCGUAGAUAUCUGGAGGAAUACCUGUGGCGAAAGCGGCCUCCUAAACGAAUACUGACACUGAGGUGCGAAAGCGUGGGGAGCAAACAGGGAUUAGAUACC
rnacentral:rRNA from 1 species